rnacentral:rRNA from 1 species
UACGGGGGGGGUAAGCGUUGUUCGGAAUUACUGGGUGUAAAGGGCUCGUAGGCUGCCAACUAAGUCAGACGUGAAAUCCCUCGGCUUAACCGGGGAACUGCGUCUGAUACUGGAUGGCUUGAGGUUGGGAGAGGGAUGCGGAAUUCCAGGUGUAGCGGUGAAAUGCGUAGAUAUCAGGAGGAACACCGGUGGCGAAGGCGGAUUUCUGGACCAGUUCUGACACUGAUGAGCGAAAGCCAGGGGAGCAAACAGG